UACGAAGGGGGCUAGCGUUGCUCGGAAUCACUGGGCGUAAAGCGCACGUAGGCGGAUUGUUAAGUCGGGGGUGAAAUCCUGGAGCUCAACUCCAGAACUGCCUUCGAUACUGGCGAUCUUGAGUCCGGGAGAGGUGAGUGGAACUCCGAGUGUAGAGGUGAAAUUCGUAGAUAUUCGGAAGAACACCAGUGGCGAAGGCGGCUCACUGGACCGGUAUUGACGCUGAGGUGCGAAAGCGUGGGGAGCAAACAGG
rnacentral:rRNA from 1 species